AUUGAACGCUGGCGGCAUGCUUUACACAUGCAAGUCGAACGGCAGCACAAACUUCGGUUUGGUGGCGAGUGGCGAACGGGUGAGUAAUGCAUCGGAACGUGUCCUGAAGUGGGGGAUAACGCAUCGAAAGAUGCGCUAAUACCGCAUAAUCUCUGAGGAGAAAAGUGGGGGAUCGAAAGACCUCAUGCUUUUGGAGCGGCCGAUGUCUGAUUAGCUAGUUGGUGGGGUAAUGGCCUACCAAGGCGACGAUCAGUAGUUGGUCUGAGAGGAUGGCCAGCCACACUGGGACUGAGACACGGCCCAGACUCCUACGGGAGGCAGCAGUGGGGAAUUUUGGACGAAUAGGGCGAAAGACCUGAU
rnacentral:rRNA from 1 species